AUUGAUGCCAGUCUAGGCAAAAGGACCUUGGUUUGCCAUUUUCAGAUGAUGCAAAAGUAGCUGGAACAAGAUUACCAUAUUAAACAAUUGCUUGGAGUUUAAGACUUUGCGGCUGGUCUCACAAGUCCCAAUCCUGAACCACUACCCAAAUGCUUGAACUCUGUUGCCAUGAGAUGAUCCCCAUGGCCAGCAAAGCCUGUUCCACCUUUUCCCAAGUUCACCAAAUUGCGCUCUUUACAUCCCUUAGUGCAAACCAGACAAACCUUAUCGACAGCCAUAAAUUUGUCAGAGCACUUCUUGCAGAAGACAUGACCACAGGAACUAAGUGCCACUAGUGAUAGUGUGUUGGUGAGAGUAACCUUGCAGCUAGGACAAAUGUAGGUCUUAUCAAGAGAACUGGAUGAUUUCUUUUCACUGGUGUCUUCUGUAAAGUAAACAGGGAACAGGCUCUUCAGCUUGAGCUUUUCCUUGCCUUCUGGGCAGACAGUACUUGUGGAAGGAGCGUCCACUUUAACAGGAGCAUCUGGUGUAGCUGAGGGUAGCCAAAAUGCUUUCAUUGUCCGGAGAGCUUCCUCUUCAUACGAAGUGACCUUCACACUGUUUGCCCCGUGGAACCCUGGCUUGUCUUGGCUGUGGUUUCUAUCGCUGUACUGUGGAACUGCACCAUGAUUUUGCUGAUCAAAUGCAUCAAGCUCCCUUGCUUUCUGCAACAUGAACUUCUCUUUCUCCUCAUCCUUUUCCUGCUUCUUCUGUAAUUCAUGGGCAGCUAGCUUCCUGACAAGUAAGAGAAAAACACACUUCUCAUCGCAGCAUUGGCACUGUAAAGAAUAAAAGAAGAUCACACAAUACAUGGAAACAGCUAAAAAAUGUACGAAACAGUUCGAUCCUACAGGUAAAAAGGCUGAGCUAGCACAGGCUCUCUUGUCUUUAAUUGAUGUUCCAAUCUGCUCUUUAAGUUCAUAUCAAAAAAGAAAGGGGAGGGCAAAUUGCACUUAAAGCCAGUUCUAAUUCAGGUAUAAAAUAAAAUUGUCACAAGACCCUUUUCCAUCUAAAUCUUUACCAUAAAUGCAAAGAUUAAUAUCUUCUUAAAUUUUUGCCCAGAUAAGACUCCUAUGCUUCUGACAAAAAAGUCAGUAGUAUAUAGCUUCGCAGACCACUCGUGCCCACAAAGACACAGUCACCAUGAAAAUUGUAGAAGCUGGCUGGUGACCUAAGAUGACCAAUUAGACUGUUAAAAUGACCAACUUUCUUUCACCAUGAAUUCCAACCCACUCAAUUGCCCAAGAUCCUAAUUUCCAAAAUUCCAAGAAAUAGAUCCUAAUUUCCAAGAUUCCAAGAAACAGUGUAUAUCAGAUAAAGCAAUAAGGUAAAAGAACUACAACAGCAUACAUUCAGAACAGAUAACUGCUUAAAUAAGGGGAAAAUUUGAAUCACGAGUUCUCUUCGCAGUUUAACACAAACCUUCUCCCCACACCAUGUCGCAAAAUAAUCUAUAAAGGCAGGAAUACUUCCUCACGACAUUUUAGCUCACACACAACCAAACAGUUACUACCCAAAUCAAUCAGAGCACAAGUACAUUCAUGUAUCAUCAUUCGUCACAAAACUCAAAGAGCCUAAGCUUCUCAACACACAAAACAAUGGCCUGCCGCAAGAAAAGUUCCCAAUUUAAUCUCCAAUUCAGAUUGUAACCUUUCAAUCAAAAUUUAAACAAUCAUCUCUCACUUCUCAUAUCAAUUUCAGUUCACAACUCAACAAGCCUUGCUAGUAUAAUUCAUAAAACCUUGCUUAUCCUUCUGAAGGACAGCCUUGCUCUCCAAAAAGAGCUACAUUAAAACUAAAAAUUUACUUAAUCGAGGUCCUAUUUCAGUUCACCAACAAAACAAAUCCCCCGCUAAACCAAGUCCAAAAAAUAAACAUUUAAAACAAUAACCAAAAUUCAAAAAACAAUCUUCCUCUAU
rnacentral:lncRNA from 1 species